rnacentral:rRNA from 1 species
AUGAACGCUGGCGGCGUGCCUAAUACAUGCAAGUCGAGCGAACGGACGAGAAGCUUGCUUCUCUGAUGUUAGCGGCGGACGGGUGAGUAACACGUGGAUAACCUACCUAUAAGACUGGGAUAACUUCGGGAAACCGGAGCUAAUACCGGAUAAUAUUUUGAACCGCAUGGUUCAAAAGUGAAAGACGGUCUUGCUGUCACUUAUAGAUGGAUCCGCGCUGCUUUAGCUAGUUGGUAAGGUAACGGCUUACCAAGGCAACGAUGCAUAGCCGACCUGAGAGGGUGAUCGGCCACACUGGAACUGAGACACGGUCCAGACUCCUACGGGAGGCAGCAGUAGGGAAUCUUCCGCAAUGGGCGAAAGCCUGACGGAGCAACGCCGCGUGAGUGAUGAAGGUCUUCGGAUCGUAAAACUCUGUUAUUAGGGAAGAACAUAUGUGUAAGUAACUGUGCACAUCUUGACGGUACCUAAUCAGAAAGCCACGGCUAACUACGUG